rnacentral:lncRNA from 1 species
CAUUUUACUGAUAGUUCCUCAAUUUUCUCCCCAGGUACUUCCUCACUUGCACCUUCAAUUUUUGUGUCUAUUCUUGUUUUAAAUAGUCUUCAUAGGAAAUCUUACCUAGUUUCAAAUAUUGUUGGAACUCAGAUUUCUAAAUCUAUGACACCAACACAACAUCUCUUUUGAAAUGCAGAUUCAUACAUCUAUCAAACUCCCUCCUAAAUAUAAUUCCCAUUAAGUGUAUUGAAGUUUCAUCAAACUCUACAUAUCUGAAAAAUAGUUAUUUCCCUCACCUUGCCCCUCACUCUAAUAUGAACAAAUGUAUUUCUUCUAUGCUACUUUAAUCAUUAUAGAUUUUUCCUCUUUCACCUUUCUCUCAUGUAAUUAUUGACUGAGGUGAUUUUUUUAGAUAUUAAAUAUUUCUUGAAUAUCUCCACAUCUUUAUUCCUAUCCUGCCCAUAUCAGCUAGUAUGGCCAGGAAAACAGAAACCACUUUAGGUAGAAGGUAUUUAAUACAGGAAAUUAGAAACAACAUGGUUGGAAAUCAGAGGCAGGAAACAUCAGAAGAAAGUGGUCUGGUAUUUAGAGAACCCAGAAAUGCAGGAAUCAUAAAGUUGAUGCCAAUAAUCUCAACCUCCUGCAGGAUGAAGUGAGUUCUAAGAGCUCUGUACUCAUUAUAGAUCUUGGUCCCUCUAAAAUACCCCUUGAAGCUUUGUGGGAUCAAUUCCUAUACAUUCAGAAGCUAUGUCUGUCUGUCUGAGGGCUUUAUCUGGCUGUACAGACAUGCUGCAUGUGGGGCAGGACAUGAGUAUCAGAAAAUGAAUGCCCCAGGAACAACCUUCAACCACUGAGGAUCAGAAGUUGGUGAAUGAACAUGGCACCUCCUUACCCUCAGUGGAACAAUUCUGAAGUCUAGUCUAUAUAAUCCCUCCAAGGGUUUCCAGCAGGAUUGAGCCUCAGUUGACUACAGCUGUAAUCCAUAUGUCGAUGUCAUUUUAUUGGCUUUCUUCCCUUCCUUGUGUCACUUUUCCACCUCUUCUGCUUCUGGAUGAACUCCAAAAUAAGCUACCUGCUCUCAAGUCUUGUUCAUAGUUUAAGAUAUGAUUUAUGCAUUGCUUUUGGAGGAGGACAAUGCUUCUCUUUCUUUUCAAACUUCCACAUUUUAUGAGAGUGCAUCUUCUUGGCAGAAUUUAACUCAGAAAAUUUCUUGCAAGUGUCUGGCAAAUACAGUUUUUAGGCUCUUAAUUCUUGUGAUAGAGGGAACCAAUGGUUCCAGCAAGGGAAUGGGAAAUAUGAGAGCACGAAGAUAAUGGGUUUAGGAGAAAAUUUGAAAGUAAAAUAAAUAGGUCCUUGUGGCCAAAUUAAAUAGGACCUCGUGAAUUUUAAAUUCCCUCAAUUUAAUGUUGAGGAAAUGAAUAAAAAAAAGAAGAGAAGAGAUAGUACAUUCUAACUUUCACCUAUUUGUUUAUUCAUUUACUUAACAAACAUUGAUUGAGUUUGUACUAUGUCUCAUUUAGCAUGUCAAAGCUCUGGGAAUAAAAGAUGACUGAAACAGGAUUCUUUUCCCUAGGAAGGUCACAGUCUGAUAGAGGAGGUAAAAACACAUCCAGUCAACUAUAACACAAUGUGAUAUAUUAAGCUUUUACUCUGCCACCAUUAUAUUUAAUGUACUGAGGGAAGACAAAUGAGUGAACAACUAAUUAUAUUGGGGAAAGUAUUUGGGAAGACUCUAGAGAAGAUGUAACAAUUGUCUUUAAUAUUAAAAAAUGAUCUUUCUAAGGAGAGAUAUGUGGCAAAGAUGGUUCAGGAACCUAGAUUGGUGCAAAGGUCAGUUUCUUAUGGCAAAGGACAGGAUGAAGGUGUCAUUCUAGGCUUUUAGAAUGUGUAUGUGUUUAUGCAUGCGCUUGAAGUAUUUUAAACACUCUUCUUAUGUGUUUUAAGUAUUUAAAAUCCAGGAAACAAGUGAUAUAGUGCUCACUCUUUACUCUUGCUCUCCUAACAUGCAUAUUUUAUCUAUUUAAAGCUAUUUGGAGAUCAUUUUCCACUCCUGCAUUUAAGAGUUGUAUGUAUAUAUAUAUGUACUUUCUCUUUCCAUGCCCUUAAAUUCUCAUUUAGGAAUACCUCUUGGACACUCAGUCAUUCUUACAGAGAAAAUAGUGAGACAGAGUUUUAAAAAUAUUUAUUUUCAAAUGUGAAAUAGAACCUAUUAUAUGAGUCCAUUUUCACACUGUUAUGAAGAAAUACCUGAGACUGGCUUCAGAAUGAUAGCAUGCUUCCUAAAGCCCUACCAUAAAUAGCAUUAUUUUCAACAUGGCCAAUUUUCUAAUAUACCAAUACUCAUAUAAAACAGGGAUCUUAGAAAUCAGCAGUUUCAGUUCCAGGUCUUCUGAAAGCUCAUAUAAUUCUUCUGAAUUUUUACCGACAGCUUUGGGGAUUGUACUUUUGAUGGUAGGGCCAGCUUUUCUUACAAAUUUUUCCUUUCCUUUAAUUUGAAAAUAAUAUUUACUACAAAUGCUUUGGUUUCUUAUUAUAAUUGCCAUCAUACAGUUAAUGAAAACUAAAUUUUAUUAUUAUAACACCUAACUAUGAACCUCAAAUUCAGACUGUCUUGGUUUGUUUUUUUGCAAAAGUGGUGUAAGUUCCCCAACAAUCUGAUCAUUGAAUUUAUACUUACUCUUUACCCAAAGUUAAACAUAUCUUAAUUGGACAGUGUCCUAAUAAAAUAGUGUUAGGUAUUAUAUCCAGUCUCUCAAUGCUCAUCAGGAUUUAUUCUCAUGCUUAUUUUACUAUACUUGCUUUUCUAUUUUUUUUUUUGCCUUUUUAAUCUUCUCAUGUUUGCCUUCAAAUGAGUAAGAAGAUGGAGUGUGGGUGAUAAAAUGAGAGGAGUCCAGGUGUUUCAUUAAUAUGAAGGACAUUCCACUACUUAAAAAAAAAAGUUUGUGAUUUGAGAUCAAAUGGGGAAGAUAAAGUUGAAAAGUGCUGACAUGUUAUCAAAUCAUCAGCAUUAUGAAACAGCAGGUACCAGAGCCGUUCUAGAUAUUCAUUUAUGUUGACACUUUUAGGACACAAGGGAGAGAGUGUGGCUGUCAGUUAUCUCAUUUUGUUACUUUUGUAAAAGAUCUGCUGAUUCUUUGGGUAUAGCUCUGGUGUCAUUUCAAGUUUUUCCUGGCUCUAAGCAUCACGUCAUCGCCCUGGCAUCCUGUGCCUAUCUCUAACUGUACUAUUUCCUUUCUUCUCAAUUUAUGUGACUUUUUUCAAGAUACUUCAGUAUUUUAUCUCAUUAAGCA